rnacentral:rRNA from 1 species
UGCCAGCAGCCGCGGUAAUACGUAGGGUGCAAGCGUUGUCCGGAUUUAUUGGGUUUAAAGGGUGCGCAGGCGGCUUGUUAAGUCAGUGGUUAAAGACUGCGGCUCAACCGUAGCACGCCAUUGAUACUGGCAAGCUUGAGUACGUCAGAGGAGGUUGGAAUGUGUGGUGUAGCGGUGAAAUGCAUAGAUAUCACACAGAACACCGAUUGCGAAGGCAGAUCUCUAACACUAUAUUGACGCUGAGGGACGAAAGCGUGGGGAGCGAACAGGAUUAGAUA